rnacentral:rRNA from 1 species
AUGAUCGCUUUUAAUGACUUCAUCCGCUCUCAGCAAUUAAUUGAACUGCCAAUCAAGGGACGUGCUUACACAUGGAGCAAUAUGCAAACCGACCCCCUCUUGGAAUAGUUAGACUGGUUCCUCACAUCUCUCAACUGGACCUCAUCUUACCCUAAUACACUUGUCAUGCCGCUAGGGAAGCCAGUCUCUGAUCAUACUCCAUGUGUUGUCAAAAUUGAAACUUCUAUCCCUCGCAGCAAAAUAUUCCGAUUUGAGUCUUAUUGGGUGGAGCACCCAGGUUUUAUGGAUUUAGUUUAG